GAUGAACGCUGGCGGCGUGCUUAACACAUGCAAGUCGAACGGUGAAGGCGGAGCUUGCUCUGCUGGAUCAGUUGCGAACGGGUGAGUAACACUUGAGCAAUCUGCCCCUGACUCUGGGAUAAGCUCUUGAAACGUCGUCUAAUACUGGAUACGAGCUGCCAAGGCAUCUUCAGCAGCUGUAAAGAACUUCGGUCAGGGAUGGGCUCGCGGCCUAUCAGCUUGUUGGUUAGGUAACGGCUCACCAAGGCGUCGACGGGUAGCCGUCCUGAGAGGGUGACCGGCCACACCGGGACGGAGACGAGGCACAGACUCCACCGGUAGGCAGCGCUGGGGAAUAUUGCACAAUGGGAGAGAGCAUGAUGCAGUACAGCAGCGUGAGGGAAGACGGCAUUCGGGUUGUAAUCCUCUUCUCGCAGGGAAGAAGCGAUAGUGACGGUACCUGCAGAAAAAGCGCCGGCUAACUCCGUG
rnacentral:rRNA from 1 species